rnacentral:rRNA from 1 species
AAAGCCCGCUCGCCGGAAGACCAAGGGUUCCUGUCCAACGUUAAUCGGGGCAGGGUGAGUCGACCCCUAAGGCGAGGCCGAAAGGCGUAGUCGAUGGGAAACAGGUUAAUAUUCCUGUACUUGGUGUUACUGCGAAGGGGGGACGGAGAAGGCUAUGUUGGCCGGGCGACGGUUGUCCCGGUUUAAGCGUGUAGGCUGGUUUUCCAGGCAAAUCCGGAAAAUCAAGGCUGAGGCGUGAUGACGAGGCACUGCGGUGCUGAAGCAACAAAUGCCCUGCUUCCAGGAAAAGCCUCUAAGCAUCAGGUAACAUCAAAUCGUACCCCAAACCGACACAGGUGGUCAGGUAGAGAAUACCAAGGCGCUUGAGAGAACUCGGGUGAAGGAACUAGGCAAAAUGGUGCCGUAACUUCGGGAGAAGGCACGCUGAUAUGUAGGUGAAGUCCCUCGCGGAUGGAGCUGAAAUCAGUCGAAGAUACCAGCUGGCUGCAACUGUUUAUUAAAAACACAGCACUGUGCAAACACGAAAGUGGACGUAUACGGUGUGACGCCUGCCCGGUGCCGGAAGGUUAAUUGAUGGGGUUAGCGCAAGCGAAGCUCUUGAUCGAAGCCCCGGUAAACGGCGGCCGUAACUAUAACGGUCCUAAGGUAGCGAAAUUCCUUGUCGGGUAAGUUCCGACCUGCACGAAUGGCGUAAUGAUGGCCAGGCUGUCUCCACCCGAGACUCAGUGAAAUUGAACUCGCUGUGAAGAUGCAGUGUACCCGCGGCAAGACGGAAAGACCCCGUGAACCUUUACUAUAGCUUGACACUGAACAUUGAGCCUUGAUGUGUAGGAUAGGUGGGAGGCUUUGAAGUGUGGACGCCAGUCUGCAUGGAGCCGACCUUGAAAUACCACCCUUUAAUGUUUGAUGUUCUAACGUUGACCCGUAAUCCGGGUUGCGGACAGUGUCUGGUGGGUAGUUUGACUGGGGCGGUCUCCUCCUAAAGAGUAACGGAGGAGCACGAAGGUUGGCUAAUCCUGGUCGGACAUCAGGAGGUUAGUGCAAUGGCAUAAGCCAGCUUGACUGCGAGCGUGACGGCGCGAGCAGGUGCGAAAGCAGGUCAUAGUGAUCCGGUGGUUCUGAAUGGAAGGGCCAUCGCUCAACGGAUAAAAGGUACUCCGGGGAUAACAGGCUGAUACCGCCCAAGAGUUCAUAUCGACGGCGGUGUUUGGCACCUCGAUGUCGGCUCAUCACAUCCUGGGGCUGAAGUAGGUCCCAAGGGUAUGGCUGUUCGCCAUUUAAAGUGGUACGCGAGCUGGGUUUAGAACGUCGUGAGACAGUUCGGUCCCUAUCUGCCGUGGGCGCUGGAGAACUGAGGGGGGCUGCUCCUAGUACGAGAGGACCGGAGUGGACGCAUCACUGGUGUUCGGGUUGUCAUGCCAAUGGCACUGCCCGGUAGCUAAAUGCGGAAGAGAUAAGUGCUGAAAGCAUCUAAGCACGAAACUUGCCCCGAGAUGAGUUCUCCCUGACUCCUUGAGAGUCCUGAAGGAACGUUGAAGACGACGACGUUGAUAGGCCGG